rnacentral:rRNA from 1 species
AGCCUACGGGACGCAGCAGUGAGGAAUAUUGGUCAAUGGGCGGAAGCCUGAACCAGCCAAGUCGCGUGAGGGAAUAAGGCCCUACGGGUCGUAAACCUCUUUUGCCGGGGAGCAAGGGCCGGGACGCGUCCCGGCCCGGAGAGUACCCGGAGAAAAAGCAUCGGCUAACUCCGUGCCAGCAGCCGCGGUAAUACGGAGGAUGCGAGCGUUAUCCGGAUUUAUUGGGUUUAAAGGGUGCGUAGGCGGUCUUUUAAGUCAGCGGUAAAAAUUCGGGGCUCAACCCCGUCCUGCCGUCGAAACUGGGG